AUUGAACGCUGGCGGCAGGCCUAACACAUGCAAGUCGAGCGAGUGGCGGACGGGUGAGUAAUGUAUGGGGAUCUGCCCGAUAGAGGGGGAUAACUACUGGAAACGGUCGCUAAUACCGCAUUCUAUCGGUUGAACCCAUAUGGGAUUAGCUUGUGGGUGGGGUAAAGGCUCACCUAGGCGGCGAUCGCUAGCUGGUCUGAGAGGAUGACCAGCCAAACGGGGACUGAGACACGGUCCAGACUCCUACGGGAGGAAGCAGUGGGGAAUAUUGCACAAUGGGCGCAAGCCUGAUGCAGCCAUGCCGCGUGUAUGAAGAAGGCCUUAGGGUUGUAAAGUACUUUCAGCGGGGAGGCGUUACCCGCAGAAGAAGCACCGGCUAACUCCGUGCCAGCAGCCGCGGUAAUUC
rnacentral:rRNA from 1 species